AGGAAGCCCUUAUAUUUUCAAGGUCGAAUUCUAAAACUCCGAAGUCGAACGUCAUCUAGAAAAAGAAAAAGAAAACCCAAAGAAGAGAAUGCUACCUCGACCGUUGGACCUUCCACAUGGAUCAAAAGGAGAUAAACUACCACAGGAAAGGACGAAAAUGAUAAAGUAGAAAGGCAAGACAUGACUCAAGACCCUCCACCUCCAAAUAAUGAA
rnacentral:lncRNA from 1 species